ensembl:lncRNA
UGGUGGGUUUUUUCUUUAAGAUUUAUCUUAUUGUUUGACAGGCAAAGCUACAGAGAGAGGUAGAGACAGAGAGAGAGGUCUUCCAUCCCACUGGUUCACUCCCCAGAUGGCUGCAAUGGCCGGAGCUGCAAAGAUUCGAAGCCAGGAGCCAGGAGCUUCUUCUGGUCUCCCACGCAGGUGCAGGGGCUUAUAGCACUGCGCUAUCUUCCACUGCUUUCCCAGGCCACAGCAGAGAGCUGGAUCAGAAGAGGAACAGUCAGAACACGAACCAGCGUCCAUAUGGGAUGCUGGCACUGCAGGCGGAGGAUUAACCUACUGGGCCACAAUACCGGUCCCCAGCAAACAUCAUUUUUAAAAAGUAUGUUGAAAAGCGAGAAAUGCAAGGAAGAGAAGCCAUCAUCUGUUGCCUCCCAGGGUCUGUAUUAGCGGGAAGCUGGAAUCAGGAGUCAGGCUGGAGCUAUGAAAUAAACCCAGGCACUCUGAUCUGCCCCCAGGAACUGGCAGUGUGUUCUGUUAGCUGUCCUGCCCCUGGAAGCCCUGCCUUGCUGUGUCCAGCUGUGAAAUAACUCUGGUCACCUGACCAGGAUGCCACAGGCAGGCAGGAGGGGAGAAAAGAAACAUGUACUGGUCACCUUCAACCCAACAUACAGCACAGGUGCUAUGGAUACCGGCUGCUCCCAUGGCAAGGGUCUGCACCUGCUCCACUUCUCCCCUCCGCCACAGCCUUCAUCCUGUGCUUGGCCCAGAGACCGAGACCUCACCGACUGCUUUUCUGCUCUCUCUCCUUUUCCCUCCCUUCGCUGUGCAUUUACACUGGGAAAUUCACACCCCGCACUUUAUCUGCAGGACAGGAAGAGGCGCCGCGCCGCACCUGAGCGCGAGCCCGAGUUGUUCGAAGCAGCAACUUCGAAAGCAAGGCUGCUCCAGGCCUCCGGAGCUGGCACGAAAGGGAACACAGGCAUUUCAGAAAGGCUCUUCCACGAGGGGAGGUGAGCUCACUUCCUGAGGAAAUGACUGUGGGGGGUGGGGGUGUCUGUGGGGGCCGGCCGGGCCUGCCUUGCAAGCGGCUGAAACGGGCCCGCGGUGUAAUCAGGCAUGAAUAUUGAUGCAAAGAAAUUAUGCAUCUUUGUACACUCGUUUCUGAUUUCAUUCCCAUGCUGCAUCCGCAUAGUUAGGCUGAGCAGCCCAUGGGGCCCGCCAGAGUGUAGCUGCCCUGAGAAAAGCCACUUGCUUGGCAAUAUUUGGUGGCAGAAGAGCAGUCCAAGUCAUUAGCGAAAAUUAGAACCAAAAUGACAGCGAAACCCUCUCAGCUGGAAGGGCCUGGGACCCAAGUGGCUGGAGUCAGGCGCUGUCCCCGUCCCUGGUCUUUCAUGAGACCAGAGGAGCCAAUAUGGCCGGCUCCGGAGUGCCCGAGCAAUUAUCAUUCUAACAAAUAGGGCUUUUUCUAAUAUUCGCAUUCCUUUCCCAUGGCCUCAUGAAAACACAAACAUUCACUCCAUCCUCAAAAAAUGCAGGCGCUCCAGGAGGACAGAGCCACCCGCCCGGCCCCCUAGCCCGGCUGGCCCAGCUGGAGGUUGCGCUCUGCCGUGGGUUUGUGCAUUGAUUGUUCCUCACUCAGAAGAUGGCCCGUCUGGCCCUGCGGCCGGCCACGAGGUGUCCCUGGGGGCUGCGUCAUCCAGCCGGAACCUGCCCUGCUCUGGAGCCUGCUCCUUAACACCUGCACUUGGGAGAGGAACAAGACACAGACCUGAAGUUUCCCGUUGGAUGAAUAUUUUUGUUUAUUUGAAAGGCAGAGAGACAGAGACCGUGAGACAGACAGACAGAACUCACGUCUACUCAUUCACUCCCCAAAUGCCCACAAGGACCAAAACCAGGCCAGGCCAAGGUAAGGAGCCCAGACAUCGAUCAGGGUCUCCCACGAGGUCUCCAAGGACCCAAUCCUUUGAGCCAUUGCUUGCUGCCUCCCAGGGUGUGCAGUAGCAGGAAGCUGGGAUAGUGAAUGUCCACAGGACUCAAACCCACGCGCUCUGAUACGGCAUGCUGCUGUCCCACACGGCGCUGGUGCCUUAGCCCCGGAAGUCUAAGCUGGUUCUAGGCUUCUUCCAUCUUCGUCUGAUUGCUCGGGUCUAUUCCCGCAGAGUUACCCACAUCAAAGGGAAACAGAAUAAAGAAUCCAGAUUCCCUCGAAACA